rnacentral:rRNA from 1 species
CCCUUAGAUGUUCUGGGCCGCACGCGCGCUACACUGAUGCAUUCAACGAGCCUAUCCUUGACCGACAGGUCCGGGUAAUCUUUGAAUCUGCAUCGUGACGGGGAUAGAUUAUUGCAAUUAUUAAUCUUCAACGAGGAAUGCCUAGUAGGCGCAAGUCAUCAGCUUGCGUCGAUUACGUCCCUGCCCUUUGUACACACCGCCCGUCGCCCUUACCGAUUGGGUGUGCUGGUGAAAUGUUCGGAUCGGCCGUUUGUCGCGGUUUCCGCGUCAUGUGGCUGAGAAGUUCAUUAAACCCUCCCACCUAGAGGAAGGAGAAGUCGUAACA